rnacentral:rRNA from 1 species
AACGAACGCUGGCGGCAGGCCUAACACAUGCAAGUCGAGCGGACCUUUCGGGGUCAGCGGCGGACGGGGGAGUAACGCGUGGGAAUAUGCCCUUCUCUACGGAAUAGUCCUGGGAAACUGGGGGUAAUACCGUAUACGCCCUUUGGGGGAAAGAUUUAUCGGGGAAGGAUUAGCCCGCGUUGGAUUAGGUAGUUGGUGGGGUAAUGGCCUACCAAGCCGACGAUCCAUAGCUGGUUUGAGAGGAUGAUCAGCCACACUGGGACUGAGACACGGCCCAGACUCCUACGGGAGGCAGCAGUGGGGAAUCUUAGACAAUGGGGGCAACCCUGAUCUAGCCAUGCCGCGUGAGUGAUGAAGGCCUUAGGGUUGUAAAGCUCUUUCAGCUGGGAAGAUAAUGACGGUACCAGCAGAAGAAGCCCCGGCUAACUCCGUG